rnacentral:rRNA from 1 species
AACGAACGCUGGCGGCAGGCCUAACACAUGCAAGUCGAGCGAGGACUUCGGUUCUAGCGGCGGACGGGUGAGUAACGCGUGGGAAUGUGCCCUUCUCUACGGAAUAGCCCUGGGAAACUGGGAGUAAUACCGUAUACGCCCUUUUGGGGAAAGAUUUAUCGGAGAAGGAUCAGCCCGCGUUGGAUUAGGUAGUUGGUGGGGUAAUGGCCUACCAAGCCGACGAUCCAUAGCUGGUUUGAGAGGAUGAUCAGCCACACUGGGACUGAGACACGGCCCAGACUCCUACGGGAGGCAGCAGUGGGAAUCUUAGACAAUGGGGGCAACCCUGAUCGAGCCAUGCCGCGUGAGUGAUGAAGGCCUUAGGGUUGUAAAGCUCUUUCAGCUGGGAAGAUAAUGACGGUACCAGCAGAAGAAGCCCCGGCUAACUCCGUG